GAUGAACGCUGGCGGCGUGCCUAAUACAUGCAAGUCGAGCGAACGGACGAGAAGCUUGCUUCUCUGAUGUUAGCGGCGGACGGGUGAGUAACACGUGGAUAACCUACCUAUAAGACUGGGAUAACUUCGGGAAACCGGAGCUAAUACCGGAUAAUAUUUUGAACCGCAUGGUUCAAAAGUGAAAGACGGUUUUGCUGUCACUUAUAGAUGGAUCCGCGCUGCAUUAGCUAGUUGGUAAGGUAACGGCUUACCAAGGCAACGAUGCAUAGCCGGCCUGAGAGGGUGAUCGGCCACACUGGAACUGAGACACGGUCCAGACUCCUACGGGAGGCAGCAGUAGGGAAUCUUCCGCAAUGGGCGAAAGCCUGACGGAGCAACGCCGCGUGAGUGAUGAAGGUCUUCGGAUCGUAAAACUCUGUUAUUAGGGAAGAACAUAUGUGUAAGUAACUGUGCACAUCUUGACGGUACCUAAUCAGAAAGCCACGGCUAACUACGCG
rnacentral:rRNA from 1 species